UUCAUCUUCUCACAAUGAGGCUCCCUGCUCAACUCCCAGGGCUGCUAAUGCUCUGGGUCCCUGGAUCCAAUGGAAAUGCUGUGAUGUCCCAGCCUCCACUCUCCCUGCCCAUCACCCCUGGAGAGCCAGCCUCCAUCUCCUACAGGUCUAGUCACAGCCCCCUUCACAGUAAUGGAUACACCUAUUUGAAUUGGGACCUACAGAAGCCAGGCCAGCCUCCACAGCUCCCAAUUUAUUUGGUUUCCAACCGGGACCCUGGAGUCACAGACAUGUUCAGUGGCAGGGAGUUGGGGACAGAUUUCAUGCUUAAAAUCAGCAGGGUAGAGGCUGAGGAUGUUGGGGUUUAUUAUUGCCAGCAAAACACAUUCUUUAGAUUUGGUUUAGCAGUUACUAGAGUACUUGUACAUUGAUAAGGUUUGGUGAUAUUAAACACUGUUUCCCUUCCCUCCUUUACCUCCCCCUACCACUUUUCACAAGGCAGACCCCUGACCAGGACAGCAGCAGGCACUGUAUUUUUUCCUACUUUUCUCAGGAAGAACACAAAUAAAAGUCAUCACAGUCUAGAUUUUUAAAUUACUAGUUAUGUUCUGGCAAAUGUAUGCAAAAAUAAAGGCCUAGUG